CUCGCGUUUCUCUCGUGACGGUCGAAAUUAGCAAGAGGUAGAGAAUAGAUCACAUAUACUGCACUGUACCAGUCUCCUAUGGAGAGCAGUAAUGCUGGACACUUGAUGGUUGUAGAUCUUUCUCUGGUUUGUUGAGUCACCACAGCUGACUUCUUAAAACAGUAACUCAAGAUAUCCUUGGUACAAUCGCUGCUACCAGUGCAGAAUGCAUCGCCUGUUUUACUGAGACGUCCGAACGUCCAUUAGGAAAACACAAAUAUUCAUGUCAAGCCUGCUUGCCAGAAGUAUGGUGCCAUUACUCUAAUGAAUUGAUCGUGUUUGUAGAUGGGCCUCGAGGAUAUCGUUUCUGAGGCAAAUAGUUUGUUUCUCAUCUGUUCCAUACCGUUGAACCCAAUACCAAGAAAUACGAUGAAAUCAAAUGUUUGAAUGACAGGGUACACACUUCCUAGGCAUCGCUCUCCAGUUUCUCAGUUGAAAUGUUAGACCUUCCUGCCAUCUUACUUAAAGAGAAUUUAAGAUCUAAUGUCGAUUCAUUUGAUGUAAUAUGUUUGAAUAUUUCUUUAAAAAUAAAACAAAAGCAUUUUACUGUGGGGAAGAACUAUGAGGAGUCCUAUUUGUUAUUAUGCGCGGUGCGAUGUUCUAUGUUUCCAAAUGUUUACAAAAGUGAAAAUCAGGCUCUUUUAUUUACAUACAUUAGUGAACAAGGAUUUUGGACUCCUAAAGCAAACCCUAAUAUGUUAAUUUUCUUUAAAAACAUUGUUUGUAUUCUUAUUACGAAAAUACAAUGUAGUAUUUUCUCAUAAAAGUUGAUGGCUUUUUGAUGCAUGGGACAUACGGUCAAAUUAAAGUAGCUGGAUUCUAUAGUAAAUGAUUUUUAAUCUUCUGCGUUUUUAUGAAAAUAAAAGGCAGCACUUUGUCAUUUUAGCAAUGUAUGUAGCCAAUAAAUCUAAUUUCAACAUUGAUUUUUGUAGGAAUUAAGCGAUCUCUGCAUUAUCUGUUGUGAUUUGUUUUU